rnacentral:rRNA from 1 species
CACGUAGGGUGCGAGCGUUAAUCGGAAUUACUGGGCGUAAAGCGUGCGCAGGCGGUGAUGUAAGACCGAUGUGAAAUCCCCGGGCUUAACCUGGGAACUGCAUUGGUGACUGCAUUGCUGGAGUAUGGCAGAGGGGGGUGGAAUUCCACGUGUAGCAGUGAAAUGCGUAGAGAUGUGGAGGAACACCGAUGGCGAAGGCAGCCCCCUGGGCCAAUACUGACGCUCAUGCACGAAAGCGUGGGGAGCAAACAGG